UUGCUGUGAUGAUACCUUUAACUGUGGUUUCAACUUGCUGAGGGUUGAAUGAGGACAUUAAAUUCCUUGGCUGUGUCUGAGCAU
rnacentral:snoRNA from 1 species